rnacentral:sRNA from 1 species
AUCAACUGAAGCAAGGGAUCGCUUCAGGGAUCAAGGAAGAUCGGCCAUGGCCUGGACGGCUACCGGCAGGAGGCUGGAAUGGCAUGAAAAAACCCGCUUCGGCGGGUUUUU